rnacentral:rRNA from 1 species
UACGUAGGGGGCUAGCGUUGUCCGGAAUCAUUGGGCGUAAAGCGCGUGUAGGCGGCCCGGUAAGUCCGCUGUGAAAGUCGGGGGCUCAACCCUCGAAAGCCGGUGGAUACUGUCGGGCUCGAGUACGGGAGAGGCGAGUGGAAUUCCUGGUGUAGUGGUGAAAUGCGCAGAUAUCAGGAGGAACACCGAUUGCGAAGGCAGCUCGCUGGAACGUUACUGACGCUGAGACGCGAAAGCGUGGGGAGCAAACAGG